rnacentral:lncRNA from 1 species
UCCAAAUUAAAUUGAAAAGGAGCUCUAAAUCGAAUAGAAAAGCAGCAAGAUUUUUUACAGCACACAUCACAUCAUAGGAAACACAAACAUACUAUGUACAAGAUUAAAAUUUUCUUUAUUUACUAUAUAUACAAAUAAAUUAUGGGAAACACAAACAUAGCCUGAGCACCGCUGCAGGGCGGUUCCAUGGAGCCGCGCGUGCGGCUGAUAGGGACAUGGGCCACGCGGUAGUGCCAGGGUGCUUGGGGUCGCCGCUCGCGAAUGCCUGGACGCCUGAGCGCCACUGCAGUCCGGCUCGACGAAGCCGCGCACGGCCAACGCUUCAUGUGAGCUCUGCCGAGCAGCCUGGUGGCGGCGCAGGUCAGCUAGCAGCGCUCGCUCCCGCUGGCGGUGCCCUCAACUUGGCUCUUUGCCCAUGUAUGCUUUGCUUUGUCAGCUACGCGGCUUGAGAAAGAAGGAGUAAGAGAAAGUGAAGCUAG